rnacentral:rRNA from 1 species
GACGAACCGUGCGAACGUUAUUCGGAAUCACUGGGCUUAAAGCGCGUGUAGGCGGAUGGCCGCGUCGAGAGCUGAAAGCCCCCGGCUCAACCGGGGGACCGGCCUCGAAACGGGCCGUCUGGAGGGGCGUAGGGGGAGCUGGAACUCACGGUGGAGCGGUGAAAUGCGUUGAGAUCGUGAGGAACGCCCGCGGCGAAAGCGAGCUCCUGGACGCCUGCUGACGCUGAGACGCGAAAGCCAGGGGAGCGAACGGG